AUGGAGACAUUUCAAGUCUCUCGGACCUGGAUGAGAAGUUCCGCAAACUACGAUGAACCGCAAGUCAAGAUCACGACCAAUGGGACACCCUCGGUGUUAUUUCUACCAGGACCAGGCCUUUGGCUAGAGAUCUACAAGUGGCUGGACGGUAAAAAGAGUGAUGAUGGUGCUACUGCUGGAUGGCUCUGCACUCACACUGUCAAAUUGAAACCACCUAGGCAGAUUGAAAGAAAAGCAAUGCAAAUAGAUUUGAGCUUGUUAGGAGAGAAAAAUGGCAUGAUGCUACUCGGCUGGCGUUGGAGUAUUUCGACUUGUCUCGCUGACUCUCAAAUAUCUAGCCAAGCAUUUCAUCUCAAGAUUCUAUCAACAUGUCCAAUUGCAACCUACUACUAG
rnacentral:rRNA from 1 species